rnacentral:rRNA from 1 species
GUGGCGAACGGGUGGCCUCGUACUUGUAAGCUAUCGCCUGAAGAGGGGUUUGCGUCUGAUUAGGUAGUUGGGUGAGGUAACGGCCCACCAAGCCGACGAUCAGUAGCCGGUCUGAGAGGAUGAACGGCCACAUUGGAACUGAGACACGGUCCAGACUCCUACGGGAGGCAGCAGUGGGGAAUCUUCCGCAAUGGGCGAAAGCCUGACGGAGCAACGCCGCGUGAGUGAAGAAGGUCUUCGGAUCGUAAAGCUCUGUUGUCGGGGACGAAUGUUGAGACCUAGAACAUAGGUUUCAAAUGACGGUACCUGACGAGGAAGCCACGGCUAACUACGUG